GUUUAACGUUAACGUCAUGUGUGAGUCUAUUCAUUCCUAUAAAUCUAACAUACUUUUUAUUUUCAGCAGCUGGAGGAGAGACAGCCUGUGUAGCAACAACAAGACAACAAUGAUUAUAAGCAGGGAUAAUCUCCAGGUGGACUGCACGGGUCCAGGAUCAAGAGAUCAUUCAUCAUGCACACCAUGUUCCAGGAGAAGCAGCGUAUCCUGGGUCUGCUUGAUCAUUUUGUUGUCCUGGAUGUGAGAACAUGGUCAAAAGGUGUGUCAAUCAGCAUCCACCCAUAAAAGCUGCCUUCUCGUUAAAAGGCUCAGGAGGACAAACAGCUGCCAGAGGAGGAUGAUGAUGGCAGUGGUGACCGAGGUGACUGUGCAGCUCAGGAUGAAGAAGAGGAGGAACAUGUAAGUUAAAGAUGCUUUCCUCAUACCUUUCUAACAAACAAUAAACCUG